CUUUUGGGGGUUUCCCAGUCCUUGGGGAUCCUUUUGGGAUGGGGGGGCCCUGGGGGGUCGGGGUGUCCCAGGACCCUCCAUGCCCCUCCUCCUCCCCGCCUCGAGCAGGAUUUGGGGGCAGAGGUCGCAGCUCCCACUGGAACAGGACUGGUCAGUGAUGGAGGGGACAGAGCCGAGUGCGGGGACAGCCGCCCCCCCGGGGGUCUGGCCCCGCUCUGGAUGGCGCUGGAGGGGCUGGUCCAGCGCUGCGUCCCUGUGCAGUGUCGCCCAGCCACCGAUGAGGAGCUGCUGCUGGUGCACAGG